AUUGAACGCUGGCGGCAGGCCUAACACAUGCAAGUCGAGCGGGGUUUUCGGACCUAGCGGCGGGCGGGUGAGUAAUGCGUAGGAAGCUACCCGAUAGAGGGGGAUACCAGUUGGAAACGACUGUUAAUACCGCAUAAUGUCUACGGGCCAAAGUGUGGGACCUUCGGGCCACAUGCUAUCGGAUGCGCCUACGUGGGAUUAGCUAGUUGGUGAGGUAAUGGCUCACCAAGGCGACGAUCCCUAGCUGGUUUGAGAGGAUGAUCAGCCACACUGGAACUGAGACACGGUCCAGACUCCUACGGGAGGCAGCAGUGGGGAAUAUUGGACAAUGGGCGCAAGCCUGAUCCAGCCAUGCCGCGUGUGUGAAGAAGGCCUUCGGGUUGUAAAGCUCUUUCAGUAGGGAGGAAGCGUUGUGUGUUAAUAGUACACAGCGUUGACGUUACCUACAGAAGAAGCACCGGCUAACUCUGUGCCAGCAGCCGCGGUAAAAC
rnacentral:rRNA from 1 species